UACAGAGGUCUCAAGCGUUGUUCGGAUUCAUUGGGCGUAAAGGGUGCGUAGGUGGCGUCGUAAGUCAGGUGUGAAAUCUCGGAGCUUAACUCCGAAACUGCAUUUGAUACUGCGGUGCUUGAGGACUGGAGAGGAGACUGGAAUUUACGGUGUAGCAGUGAAAUGCGUAGAGAUCGUAAGGAAGACCAGUGGCGAAGGCGGGUCUCUGGACAGUUCCUGACACUGAGGCACGAAGGCCAGGGGGAGCAAACGGG
rnacentral:rRNA from 1 species